UAAAAACAAAACUCAUUGUAUUUCAAAUAGUUACAAGUAAUCAAGUAUUUUAGAAAGUAACUAUUAGAUUUGAAAAGUAACAGGUAGGAUCAAAUACUUUGUAUGUACUAAAAAAUUUGUCCUAAAUACUUAUUGUAAGGGGAAUUGGGCUCUAUAGCUACGAAAUAAACCAUAAUUAAAUAUCUAACAAAAAAAAAAGCACCUUCAAUAUUUCUGUAUUAUAUACUAUAUUACCCCUACUCUUCCGGUUAAUGAAAGAGAAACUAUCACACUC
rnacentral:lncRNA from 1 species